CCUACGGGCGGCAGCAGUAGGGAAUAUUGCUCAAUGGGGGAAACCCUGAAGCAGCAACGCCGCGUGGAGGAUGAAGGUUUUCGGAUUGUAAACUCCUUUUGUUAGAGAAGAUAAUGACGGUAUCUAACGAAUAAGCACCGGCUAACUCCGUGCCAGCAGCCGCGGUAAUACGGAGGGUGCAAGCGUUACUCGGAAUCACUGGGCGUACAGAGCGCGUAGGCGGGAUAGCAAGUCAGAUGUGAAAUCCUAUGGCUUAACCAUAGAACUGCAUUUGAAACUGGUAGUCUAGAGUGUGGGAGAGGUAGGUGGAAUUCUAGGUGUAGGGGUGAAAUGCGUAGAGAUCUGGAGGAAUACUCAUUGCGAAGGCGACCUGCUAGACCAUAACUGACGCUGAUGCGCGAAAGCGUGGGGAGCAAACAGGAUUAGAUACCCGUGUAGUC
rnacentral:rRNA from 1 species